rnacentral:rRNA from 1 species
CGUGGGUAACCUGCCUGUAAGACUGGGAUAACUCCGGGAAACCGGGGCUAAUACCGGAUGGUUGUUUGAACCGCAUGGUUCAGACAUAAAAGGUGGCUUCGGCUACCACUUACAGAUGGACCCGCGGCGCAUUAGCUAGUUGGUGAGGUAACGGCUCACCAAGGCGACGAUGCGUAGCCGACCUGAGAGGGUGAUCGGCCACACUGGGACUGAGACACGGCCCAGACUCCUACGGGAGGCAGCAGUAGGGAAUCUUCCGCAAUGGACGAAAGUCUGACGGAGCAACGCCGCGUGAGUGAUGAAGGUUUUCGGAUCGUAAAGCUCUGUUGUUAGGGAAGAACAAGUGCCGUUCAAAUAGGGCGGCACCUUGACGGUACCUAAACCAGAAAGCCACGGCUAAACUACGUGCCAGCAGCCGCGGUAAUACGUAGGUGGCAAAGCGUUGUCCGGAAUUAUUGGGCGUAAAGGGCUCGCAGGCGGUUUCUUAAGUCUGAUGUG